CGGUCACGUUCGUUGCAUGACAACUUAUAUAUAAUUGUUUAUUAAUAAUAAAUAACAAUUAUUCUUUAUAUGGAAACGCAAUUAAGCAGACAGAUUAUUCCACGAACUAACAACGGCCAUGCACUACUUAUCACAUAAUCAUAAAAGAACUAUCAUUCUAUAUCUAAAAACAUUAAAAAAAUGUAUUUUAAAUAUCUGUCAAUCCUUAAUAUGUCCUGACCCGGUAAGAUUUUCUGUGUUGGGUCAAAUUAAGCCACAUGUUCCAC
rnacentral:rRNA from 1 species